CCCGGUGCAAGCGGGGUACCAGUCACUUUGGCAAAUCCGGGUGGCAAUGGGAAGCCGUGAUGCGGAGUGAAAUAAAGUAACGAAGUCCGUGAGCCAUGCGUCAAGAAAAGCCGCUAUCGUUUAUACCGUACCCGUACCGUAAACCGACACAGGUGGAUGAGGAGAGAAUCCUAAGGCCGGCGGAAGAAGCAUUGUCAAGGAACUCGGCAAAAUGGCCCCGUAACUUAGGGAUAAGGGGUGCCUGGGAAACCAGGCCGCAGAGAAUAGGCUCAAGCAACUGUUUAGCAAAAACACAGGUCUAUGCGAAACCGAAAGGUGAGGUAUAUGGGCUGACGCCUGCCCGGUGCUGGAAGGUUAAGAGGAGAGGUUAGCGGUAACGCGAAGCUUUGAAUUUAAGCCCCAGUAAACGGCGGCCGUAACUAUAACGGUCCUAAGGUAGCGAAAUUCCUUGUCGGGUAAGUUCCGACCCGCACGAAAGGCGUAAUGAUUUGAGCGCUGUCUCGACAAUGCAUCCGGUGAAAUUGAAGUACCAGUGAAGAUGCUGGUUACCUGCGCCAGGACGGAAAGACCCCAUGGAGCUUUACUCCAGUCUGGUACUGGGACUCGGUAUUGCAUGUACAGGAUAGGUGGGAGGCUAGGAGAUGGUAACGCCAGUUGCCAUGGAGCCGCUGUUGGGAUACCACCCUUGCAGUAUUGGGUUUCUAACCAGCCGCCGUGACCCGGCGGUGGGACAAUGCCAGACGGGGAGUUUGACUGGGGCGGUCGCCUCCGAAAGGGUAUCGGAGGCGCCCAAAGGUUCCCUCAGAAUGGACGGAAACCAUUCGAAGAGUGCAAAGGCAGAAGGGAGCUUGACUGCGACACCGACGGGUGGAGCAGGUACGAAAGUAGGGCUUAGUGAUCCGGUGGUAUUAAGUGGGAAUGCCAUCGCUCAACGGAUAAAAGCUACCCUGGGGAUAACAGGCUUAUCACUCCCAAGAGUUCACAUCGACGGAGUGGUUUGGCACCUCGAUGUCGGCUCAUCGCAUCCUGGGGCUGUAGUAGGUCCCAAGGGUUGGGCUGUUCGCCCAUUAAAGCGGUACGCGAGCUGGGUUCAGAACGUCGUGAGAC
rnacentral:rRNA from 1 species